GACGAACGCUGGCGGCGUGCUUAACACAUGCAAGUCGAACGGAAAGGCCCUGCUUUUGUGGGGGGCUCGAGUGGCGAACGGGUGAGUAACACGUGAGUAACCUGCCCUUGACUUUGGGAUAACUUCAGGAAACUGGGUCUAAUACCGGAUAGGAGCUCCUGCGGCAUGGUGGGGGUUGGAAAGUUUCGGCGGUUGGGGAUGGACUCGCGGCUUAUCAGCUUGUUGGUGGGGUAGUGGCUUACCAAGGCUUUGACGGGUAGCCGGCCUGAGAGGGUGACCGGCCCCAUUGGGACUGAGAUACGGCCCAGACUCCUACGGGAGGCAGCAGUGGGGAAUAUUGCACAAUGGGCGGAAGCCUGAUGCAGCAACGCCGCGUGCGGGAUGACGGCCUUCGGGUUGUAAACCGCUUUCGCCUGUGACGAAGCGUGAGUGACGGUAAUGGGUAAAGAAGCACCGGCUAACUACGUG
rnacentral:rRNA from 1 species